AGAGUUUUGAUCCUGGACUCGAGGACGAACGCUGGCGGCGUGCUUAACACAUGCAAGUCGAGCGGACGUAGCAAUACGUUAGCGGCGGACGGGUGAGUAACGCGUGAGCAACCUGCCUUUAUCAGGGGGAUAACACUUAGAAAUAGGUGCUAAUACCGCAUAAGACCACAGUCGGGCAUCCGACAGGGGUAAAGCAUAUACGGAUAAAGAUGGGCUCGCGUCCCAUUAGCUAGUUGGUAGGGUAACGGCCUACCAAGGCGACGAUGGGUAGCCGACCUGAGAGGGUGAUCGGCCACAUUGGAACUGAGAAACGAUCCAAACUCCUACGGGAGGCAGCAGUGGGGAAUAUUGGGCAAUGGAGGAAACUCUGACCCAGCAACGCCGCGUGAAGGAUGAAGGUUUUCGGAUUGUAAACUUCUGUCGCGAGGGACGAAGAAUGACGGUACCUCGUAAGAAAGCCCCGGCAAACUACGUG
rnacentral:rRNA from 1 species